rnacentral:rRNA from 1 species
GAUCCUGGCUCAGGAUGAACGCUAGCGGCAGGCUUAACACAUGCAAGUCGAGGGGUAGAAGGAGCUUGCUCCUUUGAGACCGGCGCACGGGUGCGUAACGCGUAUGCAAUCUACCUUAUACAGGGGAAUAGCCCAGAGAAAUUUGGAUUAAUGCCCCAUAGUGUUAUCGAAUCGCAUGGUUUGAUAACUAAAGUUCCAACGGUAUAAGAUGAGCAUGCGUCCCAUUAGUUAGUUGGUAAGGUAACGGCUUACCAAGACAAUGAUGGGUAGGGGUCCUGAGAGGGAGAUCCCCCCACACUGGUACUGAGACACGGACCAGACUCCUACGGGAGGCAGCAGUGAGGAAUAUUGGUCAAUGGGCGCAAGCCUGAACCAGCCAUGCCGCGUGCAGGAAGACGGUCCUAUGGAUUGUAAACUGCUUUUAUACAGGAAGAAACCCUCCCACGUGUGGGAGCUUGACGGUACUGUAGGAAUAAGGAUCGGCUAACUCCGUG